UACGUAGGGGGCAAGCGUUGUCCGGAUUUAUUGGGCGUAAAGAGCGUGUAGGCGGCUUUACAGGUCCGUUGUGAAAACUCGAGGCUCAACCUCGAGACGCCGGUGGAAACCGUAAGGCUAGAGUCCGGAAGAGGAGAGUGGAAUUCCCGGUGUAGCGGUGAAAUGCGCAGAUAUCGGGAAGAACACCCGUGGCUAAGGCGGCUCUCUAGUACGGUACUGACGCUGAGACGCGAAAGCGUGGGGAGCGAACAGGA
rnacentral:rRNA from 1 species